GCCUGGUCCACAGGUAGGGAGUUAUCUCACUUGAUUGUUCACAGCCAGUUACAGAUUGAACUCCUUGUUCUACUUUCCCCCACCUCUCUGCUGCACUGGACUAGUCUAAA
rnacentral:Y_RNA from 1 species